UCAAGGUCUGAAAACUGAGGAAGGUAGAGGAGUGGAGCUGGGUUUUGUGUAAGGACUCCUUGACUGGGUAUUGCUCAAAUUGAGGAUUCCAGUGACCCAUGGCUUGACAAACGACGGUGAGAGCUCAGAGAUUGUCAAAGCAUGGAUUCCAGGUAGGGGGGACUCACCUACGCCUCGCUAGAGUUUUCUUUACAUAUUCGUUUUAAGUAUUGCAUGACUUAUGCACGGUUUCGGUAUGUUUUAUUUAUUUUAUUUAUAUGUAUAUUUCCUAUUUUGUUUUAUUUUAUUUUAUCGACACGGAAAUAACUAUUAACGUGUCGGGCUGUGCUAUACGGUCAAGUAAGUUAGAUGACUUGAGAGCGGGUGGCUCUGACUUCCUUGGGUUCGAUCCUCAAAACCUCCGGAGGGUUAGUUACGCCGGUCGUCCGGAUAUUUCCGAUCGUAAUGACGGGCCCGGUACGUGUGUGUAACUAGGUAGUGGACGCUCUCGCUACGCUUACCUGGUAAACAUACUAGUUGAGGUAAGGUCGUGUAGUUGGUCUAUGGGACCGGUCAUCUGGUUGGUGAGAUAUUGGGAUCCCGUAUACAAAUCGUACACUUUAUGAUUUUCUUUACGUUAUUUAUAUGUUUUACGCAUUUCUAAGUUCGUGAUAAUCCUUUACUGCAUGCUAUUUAUAAAACCUAGUGGGGUUGAGCUCCUCUACUGGGCGAUGAACGUAUGUGAUGCUCACCCCUACUUUCCCUCCAGGAACUGAGUAGGAGCCAGCUGAGGACCAGGCUUAGACACUUGGGUGUUGGCAUUGUCAAGUUGUGAAUAGCUUCUUUUGGACUUGACUGUUGGUUUGGCAGGUGUUGGUCAAUCUCCCUUCUUUUGAAAUUGUGAAUGUGACUUUGUUUUGUUGUGGGAACCUUGUAAAUUUGUUAUUAUCUGCCUGCCAUUCUUUUGGUGUGUGUUACUUUGCAUGAACUUGAAACCCGAACCUUGGACUCGUGACUUUGUGGAAUGUAAAUAAAGUACUCUUUUGUUGUAAAA